rnacentral:tRNA from 1 species
UUAGUUAAAUUUCUAUCUAAUUAAAUAAAA